CUCAAUUCCAUACAGAGGGGUGGUCUCCUCUCUCAGGUAUAAACUAAAGGUACCAAUUUGGAAGUAAUUGUAUACCGAGUACUUAACACCAUGAGAUGGGAUGAGACCACCAAAUCAAAAAUAGAAAAGAGAAGAGCCACAAGGGCUGGUUUCUAUGGCACACUCACUAAAAGCUCAGAAAUAUGAGGAGGAACGAGGAAAGUUCAAGGACACAAGGAAGAAUAAGCAAAAGUAACUAAGAGGGAGUGAGCAGAGAAGCAAGAGAAAAAGCAAGAAUAUCACAGCGACCAAACAAGAGACAAAAAGAAAGAGAAGGUGGUCAGUUGAGUCAGGAAUGAUCCAAAUAGAGAAAAAUCUUAUGACGGACAGAGAGAAAUGCUGAAUCAAGGCCCUUCAGUCAGUGAGAGGAUGAGAUCUGGUACACAACUAGAGAGACUUCAUUCUCAGAAAUGUGACUUUCAUUCACAAUCAGCCAAAUACUUGAGGUAGCAUGAGAAGAACAGAGGGAUUCCUGUCUUCCAAGAAUCUACUAAUCUUUGCCUAAACCAAGCCAUACCACUGCAGUCACUUCUCUCCCUGCUGUUUCGUUCUCCGACAUCUCUGUCCUCAAACAGUCCACAGUAGUGCAUCUCCUCAGACUGGCUCAGUGCAUUUGAAUUGGUGAUACAUUAACUGACCUCCAGUUUCACCUCAAGAAGUUUUUGGAGAAGAGUUCACAGAUACCUCAAGAUACACAUCCCAGGGCUGGGGAUUUAGCUCAAUGGUUCCACUGCCUGCCUCG
rnacentral:lncRNA from 1 species